rnacentral:rRNA from 1 species
UACGUAUGGGGCAAGCGUUAUCCGGAAUUAUUGGGCGUAAAGAGUGCGUAGGUGGUUUCUUAAGUCAGAGGUGAAAGGCUACGGCUCAACCGUAGUAAGCCUUUGAAACUGGGAAACUUGAGUACAGAAGAGGAGAGUGGAAUUCCACGUGUAGCGGUGAAAUGCGUAGAGAUGUGGAGGAACACCAGUGGCGAAGGCGACUCUCUGGUCUGUAACUGACGCUGAGGCGCGAAAGCGUGGGUAGCGAACAGGAUUAGAUACCCCGGUAGUCCCUGA